rnacentral:rRNA from 1 species
UACGGAGGGUGCAAGCGUUAUCCGGAUUCACUGGGUUUAAAGGGCUCGUAGGCGGCCAACUAAGUCGGAUGUGAAAUCCCCAGGCUUAACCUGGGAACUGCAUCCGAUACUGGAUGGCUUGAAUCCGGGAGAGGGAUGCGGAAUUCCAGGUGUAGCGGUGAAAUGCGUAGAUAUCUGGAGGAACACCGGUGGCGAAGGCGGCAUCCUGGACCGGCAUUGACGCUGGAGGAGCGAAAGCCAGGGGAGCAAACGGGG